AUUGAACGCUGGCGGCAUGCUUUACACAUGCAAGUCGAACGGUAACAGGCCUUCGGGUGCUGACGAGUGGCGAACGGGUGAGUAAUACAUCGGAACGUGCCCAGUCGUGGGGAGUAACGUAGCGAAAGCUACGCUAAUACCGCAUGCGACCUGAGGGUGAAAGCGGGGACCGAAAGGCCUCGCGCGAUUGGAGCGGCCGAUGGCAGAUUAGGUAGUUGGUGGGGUAAAGGCCCACCAAGCCUGCGAUCUGUAGCUGGUCUGAGAGGACGACCAGCCACACUGGGACUGAGACACGGCCCAGACUCCUACGGGAGGCAGCAGUAGGGAAUAUUGGACAAUGGGGGGAACCCGUGAUCCAGCCAUGCCGCGUGAGGGAAGAAGGUCCUCUGGAUUGUAAACCUCUUUUGGUCAGGAAACAAACCUGCGCUAUACGCGCAGCUGAGGGUACCUGCAGAAUAAGCACCGGCUAACUCCGUGCCAGCAGCCG
rnacentral:rRNA from 1 species